CUACGGGAGGCAGCAGUAGGGAAUAUUGGACAAUGGGCGCAAGCCUGAUCCAGCCAUGCCGCGUGAGUGAGGAAGGCCCUCGGGUUGUAAAGCUCUUUUGUUGGGGAAGAAAAGCAGUUGGUUAAUACCCGAUUGUUCUGACGGUACCCAAAGAAUAAGCACCGGCUAACUUCGUGCCAGCAGCCGCGGUA
rnacentral:rRNA from 1 species